rnacentral:rRNA from 1 species
GACGGGGGGUCCAAGCGUUGUUCGGAAUUAUUGGGCGUAGAGCGUGUGUAGGUGGCUAUGUAAGUCAGGAGUGAAAGCCCUGGGCUCAACCCAGGAAGUGCUUUUGAUACUGCAUAGCUUGAAUGUGGGAGAGGAUAGUGGAAUUCCAGGUGUAGUGGUGAAAUACGUAGAUAUCUGGAGGAACACCGGUGGCGAAGGCGGCUAUCUGGCCCAACAUUGACACUGAAACACGAAAGCGUGGGGAUCAAACAGG